rnacentral:lncRNA from 1 species
GUGGGCAUACACUGGGUAUGACAGAUUAAUUUAUACAUCUGUGUUCAAAAUUGCAGGGCCCAGUUGAGCACCUGGAAGGAGGCCUGGUCCCUGUGCUGGAGACCAAACAUUUAGAUGAUGUGUGCAGAGGACAGACCUACAGUAAGAUAGAUAAAUGGGGAUGGAGCUUAAAUGUUGGGGUACUUCAUUGCAGCAAGAACGUAGGAAUACCAAGAAUGAAACGUAUGACCUGAAAACUGGUGAAUCAUUUGAGGAAAUCAGUGGACCAUUCUUACAAAGCUGA